GAUGAACGCUGGCGGCGUGCCUAAUACAUGCAAGUCGAGCGAACAGACGAGGAGCUUGCUCCUCUGACGUUAGCGGCGGACGGGUGAGUAACACGUGGAUAACCUACCUAUAAGACUGGGAUAACUUCGGGAAACCGGAGCUAAUACCGGAUAAUAUAUUGAACCGCAUGGUUCAAUAGUGAACGACGGUUUUGCUGUCACUUAUAGAUGGAUCCGCGCCGCAGUAGCUAGUUGGUAAGGUAACGGCUUACCAAGGCAACGAUGCGUAGCCGACCUGAGAGGGUGAUCGGCCACACUGGAACUGAGACACGGUCCAGACUCCUACGGGAGGCAGCAGUAGGGAAUCUUCCGCAAUGGGCGAAAGCCUGACGGAGCAACGCCGCGUGAGUGAUGAAGGUCUUCGGAUCGUAAAACUCUGUUAUUAGGGAAGAACAAAUGUGUAAGUAACUAUGCACGUCUUGACGGUACCUAAUCAGAAAGCCACGGCUAACUACGUG
rnacentral:rRNA from 1 species